GAUGAACGCUGGCGGCGUGCUUAACACAUGCAAGUCGAACGGAAAGGCCCUGCUUUUGUGGGGUGCUCGAGUGGCGAACGGGUGAGUAACACGUGAGUAACCUGCCCUUGACUUUGGGAUAACUUCAGGAAACUGGGGCUAAUAUCGGAUAGGAGCUCCUGCUGCAUGGUGGGGGUUGGAAAGUUUCGGCGGUUGGGGAUGGACUCGCGGCUUAUCAGCUUGUUGGUGGGGUAGUGGCUUACCAAGGCUUUGACGGGUAGCCGGCCUGAGAGGGUGACCGGCCACAUUGGGACUGAGAUACGGCCCAGACUCCUACGGGAGGCAGCAGUGGGGAAUAUUGCACAAUGGGCGGAAGCCUGAUGCAGCAACGCCGCGUGCGGGAUGACGGCCUUCGGGUUGUAAACCGCUUUCGCCUGUGACGAAGCGUGAGUGACGGUAAUGGGUAAAGAAGCACCGGCUAACUACGUG
rnacentral:rRNA from 1 species